AUCCUGGACAAUGGGGGCAACCCUGAUCCAGACAUGCCGAUUGUGUGAAGUCGGACUUCGGAUUGUAAAGCAAUGUAAGUUGGGAGGAAGGGCGGUAAGUUAAUACCUUGCUGUUUUGACGUUACAGACAGAAUAAGCACCGGCUAACUUCGUAACAGCAGCCGCGGUAAUACGAAGGGUGCAAGCGUUAAUCGGAAUUACUGGGCGUAAAGCGCGCGUAGGUGGUUCAGUAAGAUGGGUGUGAAAUCCCGGGGCUUAACCUGGGAGCUGCUUUCAUAACUGCUGAGCUAGAGUACGGUAGAGGGUAGUGGAAUUUCCUGUGUAGCGGUGAAAUGCGUAGAUAUAGGAAGGAACAUCAGUGGCGAAGGCGACCACCUGGACUGAUACUGACACUGAGGUGCGAAAGCGUGGGGAGCAAAC
rnacentral:rRNA from 1 species